rnacentral:rRNA from 1 species
UACGUAGGGUGCAAGCGUUGUCCGGAAUUAUUGGGCGUAAAGAGCUCGUAGGCGGUUUGUUGCGUCGGCUGUGAAAUCCCGAGGCUCAACCUCGGGCCUGCAGUCGAUACGGGCAGACUAGAGUGUUGCAGGGGAGACUGGAAUUCCUGGUGUAGCGGUGAAAUGCGCAGAUAUCAGGAGGAACACCUAUAGCGAAGGCAGCUUGCUGGGACGUUACUGACGCUAAGGCGCGAAAGCGUGGGGAGCGAACAGG